AGAAUCAACGCUGGCGGCGUGCCUAACACAUGCAAGUCGAACGAGAAAGGGGAGCAAUCCCUGAGUAAAGUGGCGCACGGGUGAGUAACACGUGACUAACCUACCCUGGAGUGGGGGAUAACUGAGGGAAACCUUAGCUAAUACCGCAUAAUACCCACGGGUCAAAGGAGCAAUUCGCUUUGGGAGGGGUCGCGGCCGAUUAGUUAGUUGGCGGGGUAAUGGCCCACCAAGACGAUGAUCGGUAUCC
rnacentral:rRNA from 1 species